rnacentral:lncRNA from 1 species
GGUUAAUAAUAGCCGCCGAGUGCCUAACGAACCACCUGUGCAUGGGGCACAGCCAGGCCAUCACCCCGGGGCCACCGUCGCAGGUUGGUUCACUGCUGGGCCCUGUGGACUUGUUCUCAUGCUUUGUCAGUGUCGAUGUCGAAAGCCCAAAGUGUUUCCCAAGUCCUGCUACCUUGGUGGUGACACCAUCUAAGAGGCACUGGCCAGAGAGCUGGGCAGCAGCUGCCACCUGGGAUGAAGAUGGGCAGAGCUGGGCCACCAGGGCCGUGGUGUGAACACACCACUCUCCCUCCAGGGGCCGACCAACGAGCUCCGGGGGUCCAACCCUGGCUCCGGCUUUGGCAGAACUCUCACCUCGCCCCCAGACACCUGUGGGAGGAGCACAGUGCAGGUGGCGACAGCUCCCAGGGGCCGAGCAAGGCUGUGAGCCUCCGCACUAGGGGCCUCUCCCAUCUAGUCCUCCCCACACGCUGGGGUUAACGCAUUCUUAACAUAUGUAUGUUAACCCAACCAUAACAAGGUGCCACCAUCGUCCCGUCCACAAGGGAGGAGACAGUGGCUACAGGGUGGCAGGCAGCCCUUACAAGUGGGACUGGAAGCCUUUCCCUCCCGCCCUGUGGGAAGCCUGUGGCCGUCCCCGCCCUCGUCCAGCUGUGCCCUGUCCUCUCCAGCUGACCGUCCCCGUCAAUCUCAUCCCUG